UGGGGAAUUUUGGACAAUGGGCGAAAGCCUGAUCCAGCAAUGCCGCGUGUGUGAAGAAGGCCUUCGGGUUGUAAAGCACUUUUGUCCGGAAAGAAAUCCUUGGCUCUAAUACAGUCGGGGGAUGACGGUACCGGAAGAAUAAGCACCGGCUAACUACGUGCCAGCAGCCGCGGUAAUACGUAGGGUGCAAGCGUUAAUCGGAAUUACUGGGCGUAAAGCGUGCGCAGGCGGUUUGCUAAGACCGAUGUGAAAUCCCCGGGCUCAACCUGGGAACUGCAUUGGUGACUGGCAGGCUAGAGUAUGGCAGAGGGGGGUAGAAUUCCACGUGUAGCAGUGAAAUGCGUAGAGAUGUGGAGGAAUACCGAUGGCGAAGGCAGCCCCCUGGGCCAAUACUGACGCUCACGCACGAAAGCGUGGGGAGCAAACAGGAUUAGAUACCCUGGUAGUCCACGCCCUAAACGAUGUCAACUAGUUGUUGGGGAUUCAUUUCCUUAGUAACGUAGCUAACGCGUGAAGUUGACCGCCUGGGGAGUACGGUCGCAAGAUU
rnacentral:rRNA from 1 species